AUUGAAGGCUGAAAUUCGCCUUCAUGAAGCCGGAAUUGCUAGUAAUGGCAGGUCAGCAUACUGCCGUGAAUACGUUCUCGGGCCUUGUACACACCGCCCGUCACACCAUGAGAGUUGGGAAUACCCGAAGCCUGUGAGCUAACUUUUAGAGGCAGCAGUCGAAGGUAGAAUCAAUGAUUGGGGUGAAGUCGUAACAAGGUAUC
rnacentral:rRNA from 1 species